rnacentral:rRNA from 1 species
GUGGGGAAUAUUGGACAAUGGGCGCAAGCCUGAUCCAGCCAUGCCGCGUGAGUGAUGAAGGCCUUAGGGUUGUAAAGCUCUUUCAGUGGGGACGAUAAUGACGGUACCCACAGAAGAAGCCCCGGCUAACUUCGUGCCAGCAGCCGCGGUAAUACGAAGGGGGCUAGCGUUGUUCGGAUUUACUGGGCGUAAAGCGCACGUAGGCGGAUCGUUAAGUCGGGGGUGAAAUCCUGGGGCUCAACUCCAGAACUGCCUUCGAUACUGGCGAUCUUGAGUCCGGGAGAGGUGAGUGGAACUCCUAGUGUAGAGGUGGAAUUCGUAGAUAUUAGGAAGAACACCAGUGGCGAAGGCGGCUCACUGGUCCGGUACUGACGCUGAGGUGCGAAAGCGUGGGGAGCAAACAGGAUUAGAAACCCCGGUAGUCC